rnacentral:rRNA from 1 species
CAGAGGCCCCAAGCGUUACUGAGAAUCACUGGGUUUAAAGGGUGCGUAGGUGGCGCGUUAAGUCCGUUGUGAAAUCCCUGGGCCCAACCCAGGAAUUGCUUCGGAUACUGGCGUGCUUGAGGCUAGUAGGGGUCACUGGAACUGACGGUGGAGCGGUGAAAUGCGUAGAUAUCGUCAGGAACGCCGAUGGUGAAGACAGGUGACUGGGCUAGUUCUGACACUGAGGCACGAAAGCGUGGGGAGCGAACGGGAUUAGAUACCCCGGUAGUCCACGCCCUAAACGAUGCAGACUAGACUGCAGCGGGUUACACCCCGUUGCGGUCGGAGCGAAAUUGUUAAGUCUGCCACCUGGGAAGUACGGUCGCAAGGCUA